UGAUAACUGAUUUGUUUACAGCACACC
rnacentral:sRNA from 1 species